rnacentral:rRNA from 1 species
GCAAGUCGAGCGGACCGACGGGAGCUUGCUCCCUUAGGUCAGCGGCGGACGGGUGAGUAACACGUGGGUAACCUGCCUGUAAGACUGGGAUAACUCCGGGAAACCGGGGCUAAUACCGGAUGCUUGAUUGAACCGCAUGGUUCAAUCAUGAAAGGCGGCUUCGGCUGCCGUUUACAGAUGGACCCGCGGCGCAUUAGCUAGUUGGUGAGGUAACGGCUCACCAAGGCGACGAUGCGUAGCCGACCUGAGAGGGUGAUCGGCCACACUGGGACUGAGACACGGCCCAGACUCCUACGGGAGGCAGCAGUAGGGAAUCUUCCGCAAUGGACGAAAGUCUGACGGAGCAACGCCGCGUGAGUGAUGAAGGUUUUCGGAUCGUAAAGCUCUGUUGUUAGGGAAGAACAAGUACCGUUCGAAUAGGGCGGUACCUUGACGGUACCUAACCAGAAAGCCACGGCUAACUACGUGCCAGCAGCCGCGGUAAUACGUAGGUGGCAAGCGUUGUCCGGAAUUAUUGGGCGUAAAGCGCGCGCAGGCGGUUUCUUAAGUCUGAUGUGAAAGCCCCCGGC